rnacentral:rRNA from 1 species
GAUGAACGCUAGCGGCAGGCCUAAUACAUGCAAGUCGAGGGGUAGAAGAGGCUUGCUUCUUUGAGACCGGCGCACGGGUGCGUAACGCGUAUGCAACCUACCUUCAUCUGGGGGAUAGCCCGGAGAAAUCCGGAUUAAUACCGCAUAAAAUCACAGGAUGGCAUUAUCCAAUGAUCAAACAUUUAUGGGAUGGAGAUGGGCAUGCGUGUCAUUAGCUAGUUGGCGGGGUAACGGCCCACCAAGGCGACGAUGACUAGGGGAUCUGAGAGGAUGGCCCCCCACACUGGUACUGAGACACGGACCAGACUCCUACGGGAGGCAGCAGUAAGGAAUAUUGGUCAAUGGAGGCAACUUUGAACCAGCCAUACCGCGUGCAGGGAGACUGCCCUAUGGGUUGUAAACUGCUUUUAUUCGGGAAUAAACCUUAUUACGUGUAAUAAGCUGAAUGUACCGAAGGAAUAAGGAUCGGCUAACUCCGUGCCAGCCGCCGCGGUAA